GAUGAACGCUAGCGGCAGGCCUAAUACAUGCAAGUCGAACGGUAAGUAUUUUAGCAAUAGAAUACGAGAGUGACGUACGGGUGCGCAACACGUAUGCAACCUACCCUUUACAGGAGGAUAGCUCGGGGAAACUCGAAUUAACCCUCCAUGAGAUCACAGUGUGGCAUCACACAGUGAUUAAAACUCCGGUGGUAAAGGAUGGGCAUGCGUCUGAUUAGUUAGUUGGCGGGGUAACGGCCCACCAAGACGAUGAUCAGUAGGGGAACUGAGAGGUUGAUCCCCCACACUGGCACUGAGAUACGGGCCAGACUCCUACGGGAGGCAGCAGUAGGGAAUAUUGGUCAAUGGAUGGAAGUCUGAACCAGCCAUGCCGCGUGCAGGAAGAAGGCCUUCUGGGUUGUAAACUGCUUUUGCCAGGGGAUAAAAAGACCAUGCGUGGUUAAUUGAAGGUACCUGGUGAAUAAGCCACGGCUAACUACGUGCCAGCAGCCGCGGU
rnacentral:rRNA from 1 species